GAAUGCUUUGAGUUAUAAAUUAAGAUAUCUUGAAUACAUAAACCAAACUAUUAUGGCUUCUAAAAUAAUCUCACUUAUUUGGGUUUCUCUCAUUCUUUGUGUGUUUUCAUUGUGUGCCAUGAAACUAGCUGGUGCUUCUGAGCUUCAUUCAAGCUCGUAUGAAAUGGUUAGAAGUAGAAGGCUACUUGGGCAAGAGCAGACUGGAGGAUCAAGAAGUCCCUGUGGGGCAAGUCUUAUAAAUGAUCAAAACAAGCAAGCAUCUGAUCAACCUCGUUGCGGCAAUUACCGCCAUCAAAGCCAUCCUUGAUCAUGUUACUGCGUUACUGAUGUAGAGGGUUUCUUUAGUAUUUUAUUAUUUCGGCCCAAUUUAUUUAAUUUCUGCUUUGUUUUCUAUUUUAGAUUUUCGGCUUAUUAGGGUUUUGUUAUAGCUUAAUAGUUGUAGCAUUGGUAGCUUUUAUUCAUUCAAUAAUAUUUCAGAGAGCUUUAUCAAUUUCUGGUGAAUUCUGUAACCCUAUUUUCACAAGUUUGUCACUUGCAAACUUGUUUCUUCCUUGCUUCCAUCUGCGUCAGUUACUAUUGACAAAAAUGAAACAGCAAAAUUUAGAACUAUAUAAGACUUAUGUUGGUUUUACUUUCAUUAUCAUGUAUUGAUAAAUAAAAUAGAUUGCUGUUAUUGAUCUUGUA